rnacentral:rRNA from 1 species
UACGUAGGGUGCGAGCGUUGUCCGGAAUUAUUGGGCGUAAAGAGCUCGUAGGCGGUGUGUCACGUCGGCCGUGAAAACCUGGGGCUUAACUCUGGGCGUGCGGUCGAUACGGGCAUCACUAGAGUUCGGCAGGGGAGACUGGAAUUCCUGGUGUAGCGGUGAAAUGCGCAGAUAUCAGGAGGAACACCGGUGGCGAAGGCGGGUCUCUGGGCCGAUACUGACGCUGAGGAGCGAAAGCAUGGGGAGCAAACAGG